UACCGAGGUCUCAAGCGUUGUUCGGAUUCAUUGGGCGUAAAGGGUGCGUAGGUGGCGGGGUAAGUCAGGUGUGAAAUCUCGGGGCUCAACCUCGAAACUGCACUUGAUACUGCCCUGCUCGAGUACUGGAGAGGAGAUUGGAAUUUACGGUGUAGCAGUGAAAUGCGUAGAUAUCGUAAGGAAGACCAGUGGCGAAGGCGAAUCUCUGGACAGUUACUGACACUGAGGCACGAAGGCCAGGGGAGCAAACGGG
rnacentral:rRNA from 1 species